rnacentral:rRNA from 1 species
GAUGAACGCUGGCGGCGUGCCUAAUACAUGCAAGUCGAGCGAACGGACGAGAAGCUUGCCUCUCUGAUGUUAGCGGCGGACGGGUGAGUAACACGUGGAUAACCUACCUAUAAGACUGGGAUAACUUCGGGAAACCGGAGCUAAUACCGGAUAAUAUUUUGAACCGCAUGGUUCAAAAGUGAAAGACGGUCUUGCUGUCACUUAUAGAUGGAUCCGCGCUGCAUUAGCUAGUUGGUAAGGUAACGGCUUACCAAGGCAACGAUGCAUAGCCGACCUGAGAGGGUGAUCGGCCACACUGGAACUGAGACACGGUCCAGACUCCGACGGGAGGCAGCAGUAGGGAAUCUUCCGCAAUGGGCGAAAGCCUGACGGAGCAACGCCGCGUGAGUGAUGAAGGUCUUCGGAUCGUAAAACUCUGUUAUUAGGGAAGAACAUAUGUGUAAGUAACUGUGCACAUCUUGACGGUACCUAAUCAGAAAGCCACGGCUAACUACGUG